CCUACGGGAGGCAGCUGUGAGGAAUAUUGGUCAAUGGGCUUACGCCUGAACCAGCCAAGUCGCGUGAGGGAAGACUGCCCUAUGGGUUGUAAACCUCUUUUGUCAGGGAGCAACGCCGGCUACGUGUAGCCGGACUGAGAGUACCUGAAGAAAAAGCAUCGGCUAACUCCGUGCCAGCAGCCGCGGUAAUACGGAGGAUGCGAGCGUUAUCCGGAUUUAUUGGGUUUAAAGGGUGCGUAGGCGGAAUGCCAAGUCAGCGGUAAAAGCGCGGGGCUCAACCUCGCUCCGCCGUUGAAACUGGCGUUCUUGAGUGGGCGAGAAGUAUGCGGAAUGCGUGGUGUAGCGGUGAAAUGCAUAGAUAUCACGCAGAACUCCGAUUGCGAAGGCAGCAUACCGGCGCCCAACUGACGCUGAAGCACGAAAGCGUGGGUAUCGAACAGGAUUAGAUACCCCGGUAGUC
rnacentral:rRNA from 1 species